UGUCUAUUUACAUGUCAAUAAAAUUCAAUCCGAGGGCAGUUUAGUCAUUCUAGCUUAUGUCACUUACCUGUCUUUUAUAUUCGUUGCCACGUUUGCCCGUCAUACCUAUCUUCUCGAUGUUUCUUCUUGGAGUUCUCAGUUCUACUCAUGGAUCAGCUCUUCAUAGCAGGGUACAAAAUGUUGUAGUGCCGGUGAUCAGUUAUUAAGAGGAGGAUGGUUAUACUUAUUUCGGAAGUUUAUGACAACCUUGAUGUUUCAAAUUUGCAGGUGCGGAAUAAUAUAUUAUAGGAGAGUUUCAAAGCAAUGUAUAGUUGCAGCCCGUUCCCGAGCUUCAAGAGGUCAAACUGGUUCAGCAGAAAAUCAUCCAUGAGAAACAGGCAGAGAAUUGUAGAUUUCCUCGGAAGGUGAGAUAUUCUGUGGAUGAAGCAAAUGCUAAUAACUGAGGUGAUCCAACAUCCAAAAACGCAUCUUCUGAGGAGGAAGGAGCUUGGAGGCAAGGAAUGGUAAUAUUCAAUGAAGCUGCUAGAAGGCAGGUUUAUGAAAGAUGACAUGACAAUUCAUAUCAUGUAUCCUUUCUAAGGAACAAUAAUCUGCCGCAUGAAGGAACUAGACCAAGUGAGAUACGCCGUGACAUAAAACCGAGCAAUAAAGUACCUAAUACCAAGGACACUCAUCCAGACUUGUAAAAUAGCAAUAAUCAUACAUUAGUUGUUAGAUAAAAGGCAAUUCGAAUAUUUUUACCUAUUGACGUUUAUAGUUGUGGUGCUAUUUAAUUAGUAUCUAGCCAUUAACAAGCAUCAAGGUUUUAGUAUUUGAAAUUUCAUGUUGGAACAACCAACUUUCACAAUCUUGGGCCCGUGCUGGCACAGGCAUUUACUGCCUAGUAUUAUAGAGUUUGUCUUAGUUUAAAAAUUAUACGACUAAUCUCAAAUAGCCAUAAAUAGUGGAAAGUCAUAUAAACAAAUAUAGUGAUUCAGAAAAUAACAACGUGAGCAUCAAAUAAGAAAAAGAAAUAUCCGCAUCAACCUAAAAUACAAUUAACAACCAAAAUUAAAUAAAAAAUAAAAAAUGCUAAUGAUGGGGGAGAAAUAGGAGGGACCAAUUAGAACAGUGUUAAAUCCCAUGAAAUUUAUAUUGUGAUACUUCAUAUAAUUCAUAGCGCUUAUUGGUAAAAAUAAACAUAAGAGGAAGUAAAGAAGUGAAGUCUACUAAUGGGCAUGAUAAUUAGCCUAAUAUUGGAACCGAAUAUUUAUAGUUACAGCAAAAGGUAAAUAACAAAGGUGGCAGUAUUUACUAUUUUCUACUAAAAAUCAGUAAUGACUGUAUCAUAGUCAAAAUUUUCAUGACGAAAGAUAUCCAUUUUCAUAAUAGUAACUCUGAAAAUAUGUAUAAUAAGAGGUACAACUAUAAAAUUAGCGAACAUAAUAGAAGAAAAAUGAAAAAAAUGUACGUGGUAUAAUAUUUUUAGAUUGGUUGUGCAUGGUAUAGAUAGUGUCAAACAAAAACAGUAUUCUUUAUGGAAAAAGAUUCCAGUUGAAAAUGAUUUGAUAGAGUGACGAAUUGCUUAAUUGAUUUCAUAGUCCACUUUUAUAAGGUGAAAGAAAGAAGAAGAAAAGAUCGAUACAUGAAUAUGUAAUAAUUGUUGGAAGUUAGAAGGAAUAAGUAUUGAAUGUAGGUUUUUAAAAUCCAAAGGUUGAGAUAGUAAUUAACAUGUACAUCGCACUAAAGUACCGGAUGAUGAUGACAACAAUACUUAGGAUUUGGAUAGGUUGCAGUAAGUGGUACAAAA